CUGAAAACAGCUGAAAUUGGUUGUAAGAGAGAAAAAAACCCUCUCACGAUAAAAAGGAAAAUAAAACCAAAACAACAAAAACUUGUCAUCAAUUUCUUAAGAGGUAGAGAAGCAGCAAUGGCGCUCUCGGCGUCUGACCUGCCAGCCAUGUACUCGCUGCUGGCCAACUCUUUGAGUGGCGACGAAAAUGUGCGGAAACCGGCGGAGUUAGCGCUCUCGCAGUCGGAGGCAAGGCCUGGUUUCUGCUCUUGUCUGAUGGAAGUGAUAACUGCCAAGGAUUUGGUAGCUCAUGUGGAUGUUCGCUUGUUGGCUUCAGUGUAUUUCAAGAACAGCGUUAAUCGCUAUUGGAGGCACCGGCGAGAUUCGUCGGGAAUCAGCAACGAGGAGAAAAUGCAUCUGAGACAAAAACUCUUAUCACACUUUGGAGAAGAGAACGAUCAGAUAGCAAAAGUGUUGGCCGUGCUUGUUUCCAAAAUUGCUCGUAUUGAUUACCCCAAAGAAUGGCCACAGCUCUUAUCUGUUUUAGCACAAAAGCUUCAAUCAACAGAUGUUCUUUCUUCCCACAGAAUUUUUUUGACCCUCUUUCGAACUUUGAAGGAACUAUCCUCUAAGCGUCUUAUCUCAGACCAAAAGAACUUUGCAGAGAUAUCAGCUCAGUUCUUUGAUUAUAGCUGGCACCUUUGGCAGAGCGACAUGCAAACAAUUUUACAUGGUUUUUGUACAAUUUCUGAAAGCUAUAACUCAAAUGCAUUGGAGCUACAUCAGGAUGAGCUUUAUCUAACUUGUGAGCGAUGGCUGCUGUGCUUAAGGAUAAUAUGCCAGUUAAUAGUUUCAGGGUUUCCAAGUGAUGCAAAAUGUCUGCAGGAGGUCCGGCCAGUGAAGGAGGUCUCGCCCCUGCUCUUGAAUGCCAUUCAGUCAUUUCUCCCAUAUUAUUCUUCCUUUCAGAAAGGACAUCCUAAAUUUUGGGACUUUAUAAAGAGGGCAUGUACUAAGUUGAUGAAGGUUUUAAUUGCAAUUCAGGGCAGACAUCCUUACUCAUUUAGUGAUAAAUGUGUCCUUCCAACUGUAGUGGAUUUCUGUUUAAAGAAGAUAACAGAUCCUGAACCAGAUGUAUUAUUAUUUGAGCAGUUUCUGAUUCAGUGUAUGAUAAUGAUUAAGUGUGUCUUGGAAUGUAAAGAGUACAAGCCAAGUGUCACUGGUCGGGUGAUGGAUGAAAAUGGGGUUACACUGGAGCAAAUGAAGAAAAACAUAUCCGGUGCAGUUGGUGGCGCCUUGACUUCCCUUAUGACAAGCGAACGAAUAGUAUUCUUGUGCAACAUAUUAGUAAGAAGGUAUUUUGUUCUUACAUCAAGUGAUUUGGAGGAGUGGUACCAAAGUCCUGAAUCAUUCCAUCAUGAGCAGGAUAUGGUUCAGUGGACAGAAAAAUUAAGGCCAUGCGCUGAAGCUUUAUACAUUGUUCUAUUUGAAAAUCACAGCCAGCUUCUAGCUCCUGUUGUGGUUUCCAUCCUUAAAGAGGCAAUGAAUGGUUGCCCAACUUCAGUGACUGAAAUAACUCCAGGGUUGCUUCUAAAAGAUGCUGCUUACGGUGCUGCUGCAUAUGUUUAUUACGAGCUCUCAAAUUACCUGAGCUUUGAUGAUUGGUUUAAUGGUGCCUUAUCCCUUGAACUCUCAAAUGAUCAUCCAAAUAUGCGUAUCAUCCAUCGGAAAGUUGCACUAAUAUUGGGACAAUGGGUUUCUGAGAUUAAAGAGGACACAAAAAGGCCAGUUUACUGUGCUUUGAUCAGAUUGCUACAGGACAAGGACCUAUCUGUAAGGAUGGCAGCCUGUAGGUCUCUGUGUUUGCAUAUUGAAGAUGCUAGCUUUUCAGAAAGAGAAUUCAUCGAUCUUCUCCCUAUCUGUUGGGAUUCAUGUUUUAAGUUGAUUGAGGACGUUCAGGAGUUUGACUCAAAGGUUCAGGUUUUGAACAUGAUUUCUGUUCUUAUUGGACAUAUGAGUGAAGUUAUGACAUUUGCAAACAAGCUGGUUCUAUUUUUCCAGAAGGCUUGGGAGGAAUCUUCCAGUGAAUGCCUUCUGCAGAUUCAACUUCUUGUUGCUUUGAGGAACUUUGUAGUUGCACUUGGCUAUCAGUCACCCAUUUGCUACGAUAUAUUACUGCCCAUUCUGCAAAAGGGAAUUGAUAUAAAUAGCCCUGAUGAGCUCAAUCUUCUUGAGGACAGCAUGCUGUUAUGGGAGGCCACACUUUCUCAUGCUCCUACUAUGGUGCCUCAACUACUUGCAUAUUUUCCCUAUCUUGUAAAAAUCAUGGAAAGAAGUUUCGAUCACCUGCAGGUUGCAGUCGAUAUAACUGAAGACUACAUUAUCUUAGGUGGAUCCGAAUUUCUUAGUAUGCAUGCUUCAAGUGUUGCUCAAAUUCUAGAUCUGGUUGUUGGAAAUGUGAAUGAUAGAGGACUACUUUCAGUUCUUCCUGUCAUUGAUAUUCUAGUACAGUGUUUCCCUAUAGAAGUGCCCCAGUUGAUCAGCAGUACAUUACAAAAAUUAAUUGUUGUAUGUUUGAGUGGAGGCGACGACCAAGAUCCUCCUAAGACAGCUGUUAAAGCAUCUGCAGCUGCCAUCCUGGCAAGAGUUUUGGUUAUGAGUACCAAUUACCUAGCCCGUUUAACAUCAGAACCAUCACUUUUGUCGUUCCUUCCGAAGUCAGGUGUCCCAACUGAGGAAAAUGUACUUCUUUGUCUUGUUGACGUAUGGCUUGACAAGGUAGACAACGUAUCUUCCAUCCAAAGGAAGACAUAUGGCCUAGCCCUUUCAAUAAUUCUGACAUUAAGACUUCCUCAAGUCCUCAACAAACUUGAUCAGAUCCUAAGUGUGUGUACGACUGUAAUUUUGGGUGGGAACGAUGACUUAACAGAGGAAUCGAGUGGUGAUAACAUAAGCUCGAGCGGGUCCCUUAGCAAGGGUACCAUUCUGAGUAAAGAAUUCAGAAGAAGACAGCUCAAGGUUUCAGACCCUAUCAACCAAAUGUCUCUAGAGGCUUCAGUGAGGGAAAAUCUCCAAACAUGUGCUACCCUUCAUGGAGAAUCUUUUAAUAAGGCGAUUGGUUGCAUGCAUCCCUCAGCAUUUUCACAAUUGAAGCAGGCAUUAAAGAUGGAGUAGCUGGCUUUCUUACGUUUUUAUUUUCCCAAUCGAUUGGUGGUUUCAUACUCAUGCUCAACUCCCUUCAGAUUUUCUCUGUUCUCCAAAUAUUGGGUGAAUGAAGUUUGAAGCAUCGUGAUUACUGGUCCCCGUAUUCAUUGGUUUUCAUAGUUUCUUGGGCUGGAUUUUGAUGUCCGUUUGUGUCUUGAAUUUCAUUUGCAUUGCUCUUAGGCAACAAGAGAGACUCUAUAUAGAUUGCCAAUCUUGUCACUGCAUGUGACAAGCGUUCAUUCACCGAGGUAAAAAAGAAACACAUAGCAAGUGAUUCGUUCUCGAGUAGCCAAUCCAGCUCUGAUAUGAUGAUAUCCCCUUGUUAUGCGCUGCCUAGAAAAGAUAACUUUUUUGUUUUUUUUUAUUUGUUAUUUGUUAGAGAUAGAUGUGAGGGCAUUGGGAAAGGCGUGGAAAAUUUACACGGAAUGGAAUUAUACUUUUUUUAAAAAUUGUUUUCAUUUUGUGUACUAUACAAACUAUAUUAUUUUUUCCACA